rnacentral:lncRNA from 1 species
UCGGAAAUCAAGAAAAAGGGGGGGAUCAGGUUAUCUCCCUAAUGCUACAACAGCGGCCACUCCCAACUCUCAAAUCAUUCAUCCUCAGGUCCGACUCUCUCUACAUGAUUUCACCGGCCAGCUGCCAUCUCAGAAUCCCGGCGGCAACGCCGCCGGGCAUGGAUCCAUCCUUUUCUCGUCGUCCUCACUCUCACAAAUCCAGAACGGAUCUCUCUCAAUUUCUACUUUCAUCUAGAAAAGUCGAGCUCGACCGCUGUGACC